GAGAAUGCCGGGCAAGACGGGGGGGGAGUAAGGAGGGUGGAAAGGUUAUCCGGAUUUACGUGGUUUAAAGGGGGCGUAGGGGGGCAGGUAAGUAAGGGGUGAAAGCUCCGGGCUUAACCCGGAAACUGCCGUUGAUACUAUCUGUCUUGAAUAUCCUGGAGGUGAACGGAAUAUGUCAUGUAGCGGUGAAAUGCUUAGAUAUGACAUAGAACACCAAUUGCGAAGGCAGUUCACUACGGGAUCAUUGACACUGAGGCACGAAAGCGUGGGGAUCAAACAGGAUUAGAUACCCCGGUAGUC
rnacentral:rRNA from 1 species